GUGUGUGUGUGGGGGGGUGUAGGAAUGGUGUGAGGAAAACAGAAACCUGGGAGAAGGCAGAUGCUGCAUUGUAAAGGGGCUGGAGGUCCUGCAAGGAAGUCAUGGGCUGUCCAGUAAUGGGAAGCCAGGAGGGCUUCCCAAGGAAAGUGGUAGGAUUGUAUUUUGGUUUUUAAAGCUGGUUAUGCUUCAGUGGGAGGAUGGGUUGAGGGGUCGACCUGGAGCUGGUUGCUACUGCCAAUGCCAAAGUGAUGCUGACCUGAGCCUGGUGUGAGGAUGGGCAGUAGAUCCUCCAGCCCAGAGGUGAGCUAUUCCAGGUGCUGGGACACGGCAGGGAACAAAACAUGAGUCCUGCGCACUCCCCCUGAUGGGGCAUGCUGACCACAAGUAAGGAUCACUGAAGCUGCCUUGUUGACAGCAAAUUGCAGGGAGGACAACAUAGCUCCAUUCUGAUGAGAGUGCGUGGAGAAUGAGAAUUCCAUAAAGGAUGCCAAGGAGAAGCAGCUGAGAAGCCAAGAAGGAAGACCUGAGAGAGCGAAGUCAAGAAGCCUAGGAAGGCAGGAGUUUGCAAAAGGAGGGAGCCAUAGGCAGAGUCAAGUGGUUCCUAGAAGUCAGGACCAUUUCACUAGAAUGACACAGCUCGAAGGGACCCAGGAACAUUUAGUCCAAACACCAGGUUCCCAGGUGAAGAAGAAAAGGCCCAGAGAGGGGAAGGGCCUGUCCAGGCCACACAGCAUGUCAGAGGAAGGCAGAGGACACUACCCUACCCCCUCCUCCUACAACUCACGCUAAUCAGUCACGGACAAAUGAAGUAAAGACUCAUGGAUGACACAGGCCUGGUUCCAGCCCUUUAGAAUUACAAAUACACCACCAGGUGACCUUCCCUGGGAGGAAUUAGUUACAAAAGAAUUCUCACAGAGCAAUUCAUUUCAAAAGUAUAAAAAAGCCACAUGCAGUCUGGUUUCCCAAUGCCUGUCCUGCUAAAAACUACAUCUGCAUACGAAUCUAGUUGGCAUCUAGUUUGUAAAAACAUAUAAAAGGGGUCAUCUACAAACACAGGUUUCUCCAAAUCUUCACAAAGAAAACGAUCCAAGACGACUUUUCCAACAUCCUGUCAUCAAUGUUUCUAAGACCCUGGAAGGAAAGAGAGAAAAGCAUGAGAUGAAAGAAGCUGCUUUGUUAUAAUCAACUACGUGGUAAAUGGAAGAUGGGGGAAAUGAUCCUGAACUCUAAAUCAUCCUGGCAAGGGGUAGUGCUGGUGAGGACCAGAGGGGCACUGGGGGCAGGCAAAAGUGCACGUGGGACCACUGGGUGGACAUUGCAGGGAGGCAAGAUCCAGCUGAACACGAGCAAGAACUUUCAACUACUGGAAAAUCCAAAGAUGGAUGUCGGUGGUAGUGAGCUCCAGAUUACUGGAGGUAUGCAAGCAAGAGCUGGCCAGUACUGCAUGUUGCAGGGGAAAAUGAAGAACUGCUUGGCAAUGGUCUCAAAGUUUCAUGGUGCUUUGUAGCUCCCUUUUGAAAACUCAUCUGUAAUAGACUACAUUCAUAGCCUGGUACCACGGUGUGUGUGUGUUUUUGAAAAAUAUACACAUUAAAAAUUGAAUAUAUAUUUAAAACAUGAAAUAUAGAGAGGCACACACACAGAUGUACACACAUAUAUAUGCAUACAAGUGUGCAGGACCAAAGUCCUGAUAUGCGACAUAAUAACGUAUAACAAUACGCAUCCAUAGAAAACAAAGAACCAUCUCCUGCCUGAAUUCCUACUUGACAAUUUCCCACCUUCUUUUUCCCUCCCGUUUCCAGCAGCUCUAACUACUUCAUCCACUACCACUUCCUUGGUGCCACUCUCCCCUGCUCUCCCGGCUUCUUUUUUUUUUUCAAAGAUUUUACUUAUUCAUGAGAGAGAGAGAGAGAGAGGCAGAGACACGGGCAGAGGGAAAGCAGGCUCCAUGCAGGGAGCCCGAUGCGGGACUCGAUCCUGGGACUCCAGGAUUAUACCCUGGGCCGAAAGGCAGGCGUUAAACCACUGAGCCACCCAGGGAUCCCCUUGUGAUUUUGUUCUACCCGGUUCUAAGCCGAUUCUCUCGCCUCAAACUCGUGCACACCCCUCGCUUCCUUAACACUGCACUUCUUGUAUCUUAGUGACGUUCACUGUUUUGCUUUUCUGUGCAACCCUGCAGAGCCGAUGUACGGCCUGUGCACAGAAGGUACACCCCGACAGUGGCUGAAUAUGAAAGAAUAUGGAUGACAAGCACAGCAAAGUCCUGCGUGCCUGGCCCCGGGUCUCCUGUGACAGGAGCAGGGUCCUCUACCCCACCGAUGCUGGGCGUGGCUGGACAUAAGCAGACGUGACAUAUGCCACAUCCGAGCAGAAUUUUUAUUUUUAUUUUUUUAAUUUCUUAAAAAUUAUAUUUAUUCAUGAGAGACAG